CAAAGUAUUUAAACAACAACCAGAAGAUACAAGGAACCCAUUCAACUAAGGUGUCGUACUGACAAUAAUAGUAACAGUACAGUCUUCCGGUU